UACGGGGGGUGCAAGCGUUGCUCGGAAUUAUUGGGCGUAAAGGGUAGGUAGGUGGUCCCGUUUGUCUGGGGUGAAAGCCUUGGGCUUAACCUGAGAAGUGCCUCAGAGACGGCGGGACUAGAGUCCUGGAGAGGGUCGUGGAAUUCCCGGUGUAGCAGUGAAAUGCGUAGAUAUCAAGUGGAACACCAGUGGCGAAGGCGAGUCUCUGGACAUUUCCUGACGCUGAGGCACGAAAGCCAGGGGAGCAAACGGG
rnacentral:rRNA from 1 species